rnacentral:lncRNA from 1 species
UUCAAAUUUGUAUCUCCAAGGUCUGUAAUGGUUUCUGUAUUUGACACAUGGCUAGAGUUCAACAAGGAUACAGGAAAAGAUAAUGAAGUUGUAACUUCUACACAUUGUUUCAUAUUUGUAUGUCUUGUUUUCUGAAAGUAGAGCCGGCUUUUGCUACAGUUCAGCAGGCAGCACAGCCUUGGGUGUUACAAGGAAGAUCUCAAAGCCUUAUGUAGUAGACAUCUAUUUGGCAACUAUUGCCUGAACCUCUGUCUCAGCUUUUUGGGGAUUCCUACAGGAAAAUGAAGCAUGGCAAUAUUUCCUACUCUCUUGCUCUUAGGUUUUUCUGCUAGUACCUUUCUCUUUCACUGAAAAUUGUUGAUCUCAAUUCCAGUGAUCUCGGUUCCAUGAAGACAAAAAUAAUUCUUACUCAAAAAUGGGGUGUUGGGGCACCUGCACAGCUCAGAGAUUGAGCAUCUGCCUUUGGCUCAGGUCGUGAUACUGGGAUCCUGGGAUUGAGUCCCACAACAGGCUCUCUGCAGGAAGCCUGCUUCUCCCUCUGCCUAUGUCUCUGCUUUUCUGUGCCUUUCAUGAAUAAAUAAAUAAAAUCUUAAAAAAAAUGGAGGGGUAUCUUGUAUGGCUCUAUGCUCAAACUGGAAUAAUAAAAAUAGUGGUUAUAUUUGGUUAUAUCUGCAGAUCUGACAUUAGAUGAGCCAAAAAGGAAUACGGAGAAAGGAAUAAAGAAUAAGGAGAUGGGGUCAUGCCACUAUGGCUACCCAUCUGAAAGAUCUGUACUUGGUUUACCUAGAGUUCUGCUUCCAUUAUGGUGCAAUAAUAAUGGGGAGAGGGAUGUUUGUGUAGGAGAGGUAUCAAUUCUCUGCUCAGAAAAUACAGAUGCUGGGGAUCCCUGGGUGGCGCAGCGGUUUAGCGCCUGCCUUUGGCCCAGGGCGCGAUCCUGGAGACCCGGGAUCGAAUCCCACGUCGGGCUCCCGGUGCAUGGAGCCUGCUUCUCCCUCUGCCUGUGUCUCUGCCUCUCUCUGUGACUAUCAUAAAUAAAUAAAAAUUAAAAAAAAAAAAAAAGAAAAUACAGAUGCUGGGUCACUAUCAGAACUUCAAGGAUGCUCAAAAUAAGCCCAAUAUAAAAUUUUAUGUGAGAUCAAUUUUUAAAACAUUUUAUUUUUAAGCAAUCCCUACACCCAACGUGGGGCUUGAACUCACAACCCCGAGAUCAAGGGCUGCAUGCUCCAUCACUGAGCCAGCCAGGCACCCCUGUCUGAGAUAAAAAUAUUUCUCUUUUUAUAUAUAACAGUCAUGUUCGUGAAUAAUGGCUAUUAAAGAGAAAUAAUCCCUCAUCUCCAAAACAAGAAUGGUUAUGUAUGCAGAGUCUAAAUAAAUUACUAGACCUGUCAUUUUACUCUUAUCAUACUAGGCUCCUGGUUCCUUCUGAACGUUUACACUAAUUCUCUCUGGGUUUUGCAUGACUACGGACACAACUAAGUUUGUGUUCAAAGAUGAAGGGAACAAAAAUGGCCAGAAAACCUUUGGGAGGCUGGUGGGGUGACAAGUCCCAGAAUAGCAGAGACACUACCCUCCUCUACUGACAAGGGAGGUAGGAGGUACAAAGCAGCAUUAGCUUAUGCUGAAUCCCAGUAUGUUGCACAGACUUUUUCUGUGAUCAAGAAUUUUUUUUAAAAGACUUUAUUUAUUUAUUCAUGAGAGUCAGAGAGAGAGAGAGCCAGAGACACAGGCAGGGGCAGAAGCAGAUUUCCCACAGGGAGCCUGAUACUAGACUCGAUCCCUGGACUCUAGGAUCAUGACCUGAGCCAAGGGAGAUGCUCACCAACUGAGCCAUCCAGGUGCCCCUGUAAUCAAGAAUUGGAUUGAUGACCCACUCAAAUAGAAUUUCUACACAUUGUUACCUAGUAGGAUUAUGUUUGAAAUAUGUAAAAUACAGCAAAGCCCAGGCAGACAAAACCUAACUUGAGAAGGUUUACUCUAGCAAGGGAAUUCCAUUUUUAAGAAAAAAUAAGCAACUCAAUGAGGUUGUUCAGUUCUUCCCUCGUGUCCACCCCCCUCCAAUCACCUCUAGCCUUGACUUGAGAGUUUUCCCCUUUUAAGGAUCUUACCAUGGUAACUUGUAGAAGCAAGGUGUAGUGGAGAAAUUAUGGAAGUUUGAUGAUCUGUGUUCUUAUUCCAGUUUUACCACAUACUGGGUGCCUUGGGUGAGACAUAUAUUCCUUCUGUUAUUCUGUUCUGUACAAUUAGGCCCAUUGCUCAGGCUUGUUAAGAUGAUCUAGUGAGGUGUGCCUGAGUGGCUCAGUUGGUUAAGUGCCUGCCUUUGGCUCAGGUAAUGAUCUCAGGGUCCUGGGAUUGAGCCCUGCAUCAGAUUUCCUGCUUAGUGUGGAGUCUGCUUCUCCCUUUCCCUCUGCUCAUGCUUUUUUUCUCUCAAAUAAAAAAAAAUUAUUAUUAUUUUUUAAAAAGAUGAUCUAGUAAGAUGCCAAAUUCCUUUGUGAAUCAUAGAAUUGAUUAGUAUUAAGGCAUUACUGUUAUUUUAAAAUGGAAACCAAAUCAUCGCUGUUUUAUAAGCAUCCUCGGGGAACCCUGACCAUUUUUUACCACUUUAAUAACUUAUAUUGGAGUUUUUAAACUAUAUUAAUCUUUAAGUUCCAAUUUCUAGAUAUCUCUAUUUUUCUGACAGCCUCUUACUUAGGACUAAAUAAAACAGAAAUGUCAGGAGUGAAAACACUUUUUUCCCCCCCAGGUUAUAUUACAAAGGUGAUAACAUUGCUUCUACUACAAAUAUUUUCUAUGAUGAUCAUUCUGGAAGGCAGAAAGUGUGAUUAGUGUAUGACAUGUAGAAGAGAGAAACUUCAGUGAGUGAGGAGGCAGACAAGGGAUAGGUAAACACAGGUUGGUUUUUUUUUUUUUUCUAUCCCCUACAGGUCUUAUAUCAAAAAUCAUUUGAGGCAUACCUGGGUGGUUCAGUUGGUACUCCCAUUGGAUCUGCGCUGAGUUGGUACUCCCAUUGGAUCUGCUCCCAUUGGAUCUGCGCUGAUACUCCCUCUCCCUCUGCCCCUCCUCCUACUCUUUCUAAAAUAAAUAAAUAUAUCUUUAAGAAAUAAUUUGAUAUGAAUAUUUAAGAACUCUUCAUAUUGAUUAGAAGAAAUACACAGUGGAUGAAAUCUGUAGCAUAUUCCUUGGAAGGUAGCUUUUUUUUUUUUUAAUUUAGAAUCCAAUUUUAAUUUAGAUUAUAUUCAUCCAAACUCCUUCAACAAACACUUCACCUCAACAACUUAGUUCAGUACAAUGCUCAGUUUCCCUAUCCCCAAUAUGGGGGUCAGGCAGUUCCACUGAAUGUGAGUUCACUGUAUGUCAGCCAGCACGUCAGAGCCAGCGUCUCUUCUCACCCG